GUUCGGCGCGGAGGCCAUGGCCACGAGCGCCCCCCCUCCCCAGUCUCUCUCUCCCUGAGCUCCGGCGGCGGCGCCUGGCCGGCACGCCAGAUCCGGCGGCCUCGAGGUCGGCUCAUGGCGGCGGCGGCCCGACGGCUGGCGCGGAGGCCAUGGCCACGAGCCGCUCAACCCCCCCCCCCCUCCCCCCGCGGUCUCCCUCCCUGAGCUCGGCGGCGGCGCCUGCGCAGCGCGCCAGAUCCGGCGGCUUCGAUCUCGGCCCAUGGCGGCGGCGGCCCGAUCCGCGUGGGGCUACGGCGGUGUUGGAGACCCGUGGAGCUCGGCGUGGGGAGGCGGUAUGCGGCGCUUCGUGUCGCACAUGUCGCCGUCGGAGUCGGCCUGUGCUCGCUCGUCGGCACACCGGCCUUCUCCGCGCCACGGCGGCAGCGUCUCCCUCGAGCUCGGCGGGGGCGGUGGCGUCUCCCCGGCCUCGUCGACCUGCAGAGGGAGGUGAUCAAGACCCACGACGCCGUCGUCUCCGACCGACCCUUCUACGUCACCGCGAACAUCCUCUCCUACGGCGGAGGAGGAGAGCAUGGCUGGCCGCGGAUGGGAGCAAGCGCCGGGGAGGCCUUCUUCCUGCUUCACAGACCGGGAGGCCUUCUUCGUGCUCCACAGGCCUUCCUGGCAAACGUUCUUCGUCUUCUGCAACGACGGCAGAUCUCAGCCGCACUGGUGUGUUCUUCCGCGUUUCUUUACCUCCUUCUGGGUCUCCUUCACUUUGUCCCUCUUCCCAAGCAGGGAAGUUGCUCUUUCCCACUACCAGAUUCUACAUCGACUGCUGGAUCUAACAGGCUGCUCAUAUGGUCCUGCGUGUUCUUGUUCAUCUGCUUUGUUCUACGCGGUCAGUUUCAUUGGAACCUGCGGAAAUAGCAGCAAGCAGGAUGCCGCUUGGAUUAUCUACAGCUCUGAUUUUGGUAUACCCCAGAUUCCGUCUCUGAAUUUGGCUCCGGGCAGUUAACUGACACAUUUUUUAACUGGGCAAAGUUUUCCAUACCAGAUACCUGUAAUUUUCACGUACUACCAGGUCCCCCAAACCUCGAGCCCUCCCCCUUCCCCUAAGCCAGCCAAAUGUGUAUUUCUCCCCUAUAAUUCAAUGCAUUCAUAGGUUGCUCUAGCAUAGACAGUACAUCCUAUCAUCACCGAAUAAAACCAGAUUCUUGCUUCGUGUUUCAGAGCCAAAGUUGUUACAUUUUCCUCGGCAAAUUUUUAUCUCUUCAGAGGUUCCCCAUCUUCCAUUUCGCCGACCUUUUAUUUUCUCAAUGCUUUAAUCUCAGAUCUGUAUUUCCUUUUACGAUAGAUGAAGCAGGGUAACAACUGCGUUUUCAGUGAACUAAUACUAGCAGGUUUUACCUAUUAUAUGGAUAAGAGCAAACAUAUAUGGAUGGUGGCUUCCCGUAGGUGGGGUUUGCAAAGCCUGGUUCACCAACGCUCUUUGACUGAUUCUACAGGCAGGGUGGAUCAUCACCAAGCAGAUAAAUUCUAUUUCGGAUUCUUAUCUAUUGGCAGGGCUCUAGAAAAUACAGUAACAAUGAGGUCAUUUUUCUUGUGUAGAAUUUUGGAAAGCUGAACUAAGCAAUUGGGAGGCGCAGCAAUAAUGAUAGGCUCGAUCAAUAGGUGGUGAACAUGCUCCAAGCUCAUGUGCAGGUUUACAUAUUUUCUAAUUUUGAAAUUGGAGAUUGUAAUUUGUAAGAAAGUGGCUUCUUCGCCCUGUUGGAGCAGAUUUUACUCUUUAUUAUUCAACCAGAAUAGCCAGUGUACAUGUCCGAACAAUUCUCUUGUCUUGUGGAUUGUAUGUAUGUUCUGCCAUGGAAGCCUUCUUGUCCCCAUGAUGACCUUGCACAUAUCUUGCAGUUAUGUUUGCCCUGUCGAUGAUCUGGACUAAAUAAAUGAUAUUCCAAUGCAUGCUGUAUUAACUACCGCACCAAUCCAGUGAACUAGCUGAUUAGUACUGUUAUUUUGUUAUCUUUGUGUCCCGCUUUUGCGCGGCCGCAAUCCAGAUUUCAUUGAAGUCGUAAAGAACAGAGAACAGGUGGCUAUCACUCUUAUCUGAUAUGCAUUCUCGGAAGAGGAGGAUCGCCAGUUUUGGCCCCCGUGUGUAUAAGAACUACGAUCCUUGUGCUAAAGUCAUCCGGAAUUAGGCAGAGGAGGUUUCCCCAAUUGUGGGUCGGGAUCCACUUUUUGAGUCGUCUGUCAUGCCUUGCACUCCCAUGCAUACCCGCUAUGGUGGCUAUGUGCCUACACUCAUCAAGAACACGAAGCUCUGCCUGACAACGGGCACGCUGAUCUGGACCAUUACGUUCCUAUGCACUCUGCCCAACAAUGCAAAUUCCAUCAGAAGACUAGCCACAAACAACGUCCUGUACCAGCUCCUUCCUCCGGCUAUGCUCACCCUUGCCGGCGCAAUCAAACUCACCCUUCGCUAAGCGCCAUGUGGUGGCUGCCUGCUCCUACAUCAGACGUUGUGCCCUCAAGAACUAGACCAGCGGUAAUAGGCCCGCAUGGUCGUCCUUGUCAUCACAGAUUCCGAUUCAUGCGCGGCAAAGAGGCCUCCUCCUCAGGCUUCGGCAACAAGAAGGCUGCAGCUUUUGAAGCCAUGCCCUGCAACGCAAUGCAGGCUAAAUAGCUUAUCGUUUCUACAGCUGUGUGCGCUCGCCUGUCAGCCGUUUCCAUUGACUAUUUCCUGUGUAUUUCGGCAGUUCUUAGCGUUGUUUCCAAAAUUUAUGUAACGGACAAGUCUAUCCCUUCCAAUUAAAACCACCGCCGAAUCCGCCGCAUCCCUUUCUUUUGCAAGAUUUCAA